rnacentral:lncRNA from 1 species
AAGGAAACGUAUAUAUAAAAAUUCAAAGUGCGAAAGCGAAAUAAAAUAUUAUGAUUAACAUCCCUUACACAAUAACCAAAACGUAUUAAACGUAUGAAAGAAUAAGCUAACUAAAGUAAAUACUAGAAAUGAAUACUAUAAGGAAAGCUAUAAAAUCUUUAGGCAUCUACUCGCCAUCUUCCUGCGGAACGGGCUCGGGAACCAAGUCCUCCUGAUCUGAAAUGGUUAAGUAAGGAAUGAGCUACACUAGCCCAAGAAAGAUGUCACACUAUCUCACUGUCACAGAAGUAAAGGUUGGUAGAAAAUAAAAAUGACCAAUGAAGUAUAAUUUAUAACAAAUUCAUUUAUCAAUAAUAAAACCCU